rnacentral:sRNA from 1 species
ACUACGCCUUGAGAAAGGCGCGCGAGAC